CCUACGGGGGGCAGCAGUGAGGAAUAUUGGUCAAUGGGCGCGAGCCUGAACCAGCCAAGUAGCGUGAAGGAAGACGGCCCUACGGGUUGUAAACUGCUUUUGUAAGGGAAUAAAGUGAGGCACGCGUGCCUGUUUGUAAGUACUUUAUGAAUAAGGAUCGGCUAACUCCGUGCCAGCAGCCGCGGUAAUACGGAGGAUUCAAGCGUUAUCCGGAUUUAUUGGGUUUAAAGGGCGUGUAGCCGGGCUGACAAGUCAGAUGUGAAAUUCCGGGGCUCAACCCCGGACCUGCAUUUGAUACUGUUGGUCUUGAGUAUCGGAGAGGCAGGCGGAAUGACUAGUGUAGCGGUGAAAUGCGUAGAUAUUA
rnacentral:rRNA from 1 species